AGUGAACGCUGGCGGUAGGCCUAACACAUGCAAGUCGAACGGCAGCACAGUAAGAGCUUGCUCUUACGGGUGGCGAGUGGCGGACGGGUGAGGAAUACAUCGGAAUCUACUUUUUCGUGGGGGAUAACGUAGGGAAACUUACGCUAAUACCGCAUACGACCUACGGGUGAAAGCAGGGGAUCUUCGGGCCUUGCGCGAUUGAAUGAGCCGAUGUCGGAUUAGCUAGUUGGCGGGGUAAAGGCCCACCCAGGCGACGAUCCGUAGCUGGUCUGAGAGGAUGAUCAGCCACACUGGAACUGAGACACGGUCCAGACUCCUACGGGAGGCAGCAGUGGGGAAUAUUGGACAAUGGGCGCAAGCCUGAUCCAGCCAUACCGCGUGGGUGAAGAAGGCCUUCGGGUUGUAAAGCCCUUUUGUUGGGAAAGAAAAGCAGCAGGUUAAUACCCCGCUGUUCUGACGGUACCCAAAGAAUAAGCACCGGCUAACUUCGUG
rnacentral:rRNA from 1 species